UAGCGUCUAGUCAGAGAAUUAACACA
rnacentral:piRNA from 1 species